ensembl:misc_RNA Metazoa_SRP Metazoan signal recognition particle RNA
GCCGGGCGCGGUGGCUCACGCCUGUAAUCCAAACACUUUGGAGGCCAAGGUGGGUGGAUCACCUGAGGUCAGGAGUUCAAGACCAGCCUGACCAACAUGGUGAAACCCCAUCUUUA